UGUUAUAAAAAAAGUAAUUUUAUAUAUUAAUAAAGUAGUAUUAGUUAUAUUCUUUAAACUUAAUAAAUUUGGCGGUAUUUUAAUCUAAUCAGAGGAAUUUGUUUUAUAAUUGAUAAUCCUCAUUAAAUCUUACUUAAAUUUAAAAUUUGUAUAUCGUCGUCAUAAGAAUUUCUUAAAAAAGUUUAAAAAUUUUCUAAAAUUUUUAAUUAUAAUAAUGUCAGAUCAAGGUGCAGUUUUAUUUAAGAAAAAAUAAAUUACAAUAUAAGUAUAUAAAAAUGAAUAUAAAAAUUAAAUUUUUUAUUGAAGGUGGAUUUGUUAGUAAAAUAAACAAUUAAAUUUAUUUGAUUAUAGUUAUAAAAUAUGCACAAAUCGCCCG
rnacentral:rRNA from 1 species